rnacentral:tRNA from 1 species
GGCGAGAUGGCCGAGCGGUCUAAGGCGCCAGACUAAGGAUCUGGUCCGAGAGGGCGUGGGUUCGAAUCCCACUCUCGUCA